rnacentral:rRNA from 1 species
AGUGAACGCUGGCGGUAGGCCUAACACAUGCAAGUCGAACGGCAGCACAGUAAGAGCUUGCUCUUACGGGUGGCGAGUGGCGGACGGGUGAGGAAUACAUCGGAAUCUACUUUUUCGUGGGGGAUAACGUAGGGAAACUUACGCUAAUACCGCAUACGACCUACGGGUGAAAGCAGGGGAUCUUCGGACCUUGCGCGAUUGAAUGAGCCGAUGUCGGAUUAGCUAGUUGGCGGGGUAAAGGCCCACCAAGGCGACGAUCCGUAGCUGGUCUGAGAGGAUGAUCAGCCACACUGGAACUGAGACACGGUCCAGACUCCUACGGGGGGCAGCAGUGGGGAAUAUUGGACAAUGGGCGCAAGCCUGAUCCAGCCAUACCGCGUGGGUGAAGAAGGCCUUCGGGUUGUAAAGCCCUUUUGUUGGGAAAGAAAAGCAGCAAGUUAAUACCCCGCUGUUCUGACGGUACCCAAAGAAUAAGCACCGGCUAACUUCGUG